rnacentral:misc_RNA from 1 species
CGCACAUUGCGCCCUUUGGUAUUCCGAGGGGCACGCCUGUUCGAGCGUCAUUUAAACAAUCAAGCCUCGCUUGGUAUUGGACUCGGUCGAGUGACCUGUCCGUAACCCGUUGGCGGUGCAGUCCGGCUCCAAGCGUAGCAGAAUUUUCGCUUCAGGAGUCCGCGGCGGUGCCUGCCGAGAAUUACAACCCAAAUUUUGACCUCGGAUCAGGUGGGGAUACCCGCUGAACUUAA